GACGAACGCUGGCGGCGUGCUUAACACAUGCAAGUCGAACGGAAAGGCCCUGCUUUUGUGGGGUGCUCGAGUGGCGAACGGGUGAGUAACACGUGAGUAACCUGCCCUUGACUUUGGGAUAACUUCAGGAAACUGGGGCUAAUACCGGAUAGGAGCUCCUGCUGCAUGGUGGGGGUUGGAAAGUUUCGGCGGUUGGGGAUGGACUCGCGGCUUAUCAGCUUGUUGGUGGGGUAGUGGCUUACCAGGGCUUUGACGGGUAGCCGGCCUGAGAGGGUGACCGGCCACAUUGGGACUGAGAUACGGCCCAGACUCCUACGGGAGGCAGCAGUGGGGAAUAUUGCACAAUGGGCGGAAGCCUGAUGCAGCAACGCCGCGUGCGGGACGACGGCCUUCGGGUUGUAAACCGCUUUCGCCUGUGACGAAGCGUGAGUGACGGUAAUGGGUAAAGAAGCACCGGCUAACUACGUG
rnacentral:rRNA from 1 species